CCCAAUUAACCUUGUGAAAAAAAGAAGUAUGGAAGAAAUUGAUCUUCAUAAAAAUAUGGCUGAAAACAAAGUGGCCACUUAUUUGCCAAAGCAACAAGGGAACAACUUCUUCGAGUGAUGGUCCCUGUUGUAUUCCACUGAGAGUUAUGUGCAUGUGCCAUGUGCAUAACCGUCAGUGGAAUACAAAUAGGGACUACACAUCUUGAAGAACCUCCAGUUACAGGCAAGUAACCUCCUCCUCUAUCAAUGUGCGCACAAGAGCUAUCCAGAUUGAAAUCCUUCACCAGGAGGCAUGGGUCUUCAGUGUACUCAGUGAGAUUAUUUCAUUGGUGGAAGAGGCAUAUCACCAAAGUGCCAAGCACUUCUGGAAAUAAGGCCCUUUUUACUUAGGUGUUAAAUAUUACCUUAGGUUCAGUGUAUAUGAUUUACCCUAAUCAGCUACUCCUUUCCCAGAGUUAUACACCCUAAAAGACAAAACUCCUAAUAAAGCCUUCCUGGCCAACAGUAUAAUCUGCCUCACAGCCUCCACCAUAACUGGAUCCCCACUAAUCCUUCCUCUUUCUUCCCUCUUCUAGCAGGAAGACAGGAGAUACAACAAAGGGGCAGAGUGGAAAGGAAAAAGAAGAAACAUGACACAGAGAAGAAAGAGCCAGGAGAUAGAACAUCUGGAACGGGAGAUUUUGCAUCAUCCUGAAAGGACACAGUUUGCCUCUCAAGUUCCAGAUGAAUUUAUAAGCUGCCAGGACGCCUGGCAGGAACAAAAGCAUGAUUUUUUUUAUUAUAAACUCAGCCAGUUUUGCCAUGGAAGUCUCUCAGAUGCAAGAACCUCAUGUUUUUCAAAGAACUUCAGAAUUUCUUGACACCUGAGCACUUGACCUCAAAACCUUAAUGCUGCAUUCAAUGUGUCAUUUUUGCAUGUAAUUUUAAACCAUAUUUCUGACUGACCACCUUGUGACCAGAAAGGAAGUUAUGGAGAGAACUGGCAUAGAACACCCCUCUGAGGGUUAACUAACAAUACUUUGGAGACUAUAGUGAGGCAGAGUGACCUCCCUCUGAACCAGAACAUGAGGGACCACUACGCUCCCCCUGGUGGGUGGAGCCAGCCCCGCCCUCCUGCCAGAAGCAGAGGGGCAUGACUGGAAAUAUAAAAGGCAGGCCCUGCAGGUCAGUUGACUGGAGCCGCCGAAGGAGGCAGAUGUCUCCCAGCCGCUGUUUGAGCAGGAACCUGAAGAGGAUCCCUGCAGUACUGAGGACCUGGAGGAACUGCUAAAACUGUCUACCGACAGGGACCCCAAGGAGCUUCCUGAACUGCCACUUGCCGAAUACGCCGAGGAGAUGGAGGUUAAUGAAUGCAGUAUUUCUGAAGAAAUGAAUGAUCUGGAACUUCCAUGCAUCCGACGAAUUCAAGAUGUUGAAGGUUUGACCCCUCAUUGUUGAACAUGAAAAGGCAUUGUUGGCUCUAUCAUGAGCUGCAACACACACAAUCAGAAGUAUGCUGCUUGCAUCAUAUUUGCAAAAUAUGGCCUAGCUGAAACCAGGGGUCUCAGUUUUGGAAAUGGCAGUUUCCUGUAGUGCUGGAAGAUGCAGAUUAGAUCCUUGUUGAGGAAUGGUGAGAUUCAAAACCAAAAAUAAUGACAAGAAGCAGAUUCUUCUCAGCUGAGAAUGACUGGGCCAGGCCUGAGUAACAACUUGAAGAUGCAAUUCAAAAAAAGCAGCAGUAAAAUUAAAGAGAAAAAUGCUCUUCAGAACCAUGCUGUCAUCACCAAAAGAUGAUGCAAGCAAUAGACAAGGAGGCAUGUCAUGGUUUCAUUGGGCAAUAUAUUUUUUGCAGACACACCUUCGCUACAGACUGAACUGAAAUUUGUCUCAUUCUCUGAAGAACGUUAUCAAAUGCUCCUGAACAUCAGCAGGAUAUAUAUGCUGCAUGGAAAAAUGGGGUGCAAGGACAGUGGUCUAGGCCUGUCUUCAUCUAGCAGGAAAGAUCCCACUUUGAUGUAUUGUUCCCUUACUCCAAUCCUAGCAAAGGUGAAACAAGGCCACAAAAGAAUGGUAUAUUACAGAUUUACAGACACGGAGAGAAUCUUUCAGACUGAACUGUAGCAGAUAACAUGGCUCUGUGAAGAAACUUCACUAUGCGUUAUUAUGGUGAGUUUACUUCCCCC